rnacentral:rRNA from 1 species
UACGGGGGGGGCAAGCGUUGUUCGGAAUUACUGGGCGUAAAGGGCGCGUAGGCGGUUUGCUAAGUUGAAUGUGAAAACUCUGGGCUUAACCCAGAGCCUGCAUUCAAUACUGGCAGGCUAGAGUUCUGGAGGGGAUAGCGGAAUUCCUGGUGUAGCGGUGAAAUGCGUAGAUAUCGGGAAGAACACCCGUGGCUAAGGCGGCUCUCUAGUACGGUACUGACGCUGAGACGCGAAAGCGUGGGGAGCGAACGGG